rnacentral:rRNA from 1 species
UACGUAGGUCCCAAGCGUUACUGAGAAUCACUGGGUUUAAAGGGUGCGUAGGUGGUCCGUUAAGUCAGUUGUGAAAUCCCCGGGCUCAACCCGGGAACUGCUUCUGAUACUGGCGGACUUGAGGCCAGUAGGGGUCACUAGAACUGACGGUGGAGCGGUGAAAUGCGUAGAUAUCGUCAGGAAUGCCGGUGGUGAAGACGGGUGACUGGGCUGGUUCUGACACUGAGGCACGAAAGCGUGGGGAGCGAACGGG